rnacentral:lncRNA from 1 species
CCUUUCUCUCUGUGCUUCUACCUUUCUGGAAUGGUGUUUCUCCCCAUUUCUUUGUACAAAAUGUUGCUUUCUUUUCCUCUGAAAGCUGUCUGUUCUUAAGAGAUGCAUUGAAUUUCUAAUUACAUGCUCUAAGAGUGUACUGCCUACGUAGACUGGGUACCUAAUUUACAUAUUGCUCUAUGGUAAUUAAUAGAGACUUCUAGAAAAUGUGGAUUUUAGAAAUAUAAGGGGAGAACCCUAUUUUUCUUAGGGUUUUAGUUAUGCUCAAAUUUCUUAGAAAAUAAGGAGUGAAGCCUUAAAAUCGCUGAAGUUUUCUAAUAUCUAUAUAUUAUUUCUGAAAUUUGGGAAUAGUCAGAUAUUCAGUGAAUAAUUUUAAAAGUUUUUACCUUCUGUUUUGGAAGUUGACUACUUUGAAAGUUGACUAUAUACUUUGGAAGUAUAUAGUUAAGAAAUAAAUUAGAAAUUAGUUUUUAUGCCAUGUGGAAUUAUUAUAUAAAAAUGCACAAUAAAGAAGUCCAAAUAUAUUUGUAACAUAGUUAAAUAUCAGUUAAAAAUAUUUACCCCAGUGGCUGUUAUAAUCAUUAGGAGUUUCUUUACUCAGUGAGCCAAGAAUAGAUCUAUAAUCUGGCAUCACAGAGCUGUACUUUUUCUGUUUUAUUGAGAGGUUAAAGCAUGGUCUCAAAAUGCAAAUGUAUCAUAGGAGUACAUAGGAGAUAGAAAACCACCUGCAUUUUUUUCUGGUUGAAAAUGUUUCCAAAGCAUAGACCUUGUGAAAGCGAUUCUCAUAACCUUUUCUAGAAUGAAAAACAAGUUUAAGGCUUCUAUUUCUCUAAACCUGUUUUCUCUCACACCUGAAUGAAUCUAGGAGGAUUGAAUGGAGUUGAGAAUUUAGAUUCUUCUCCCCGUGUUUUGAGUCAUUGGCUACAUUUCUCAGCUUUCUGGUUUGUAAAAUUAGGAUAUAAUUCUUCAAUGUUUGUUUAAUAACCUGACCUCUUGCUAAGUGUAAGACCCUAGAGUAGGAACUAUAGGGCUUAACAUAAAUAAGACAUAGCAUAUUCCCUCAAGAAAUUUUCAUCUAGAAAGAUAUUCAUUUACUGUUUACUGAGCCUCAAAAACCAUCUCUCUGAAUUGACUUAGGAUAAAAGCAAAGUUUGGCCUUUCUCCAGUGGCAUUUAGCUAUUGCUCCUUUUGAAGGGAUUUACAAGGUAAACUCCAGGAUCACCAUGUACAGAACUGCUGAUUGCCAGUUCUCUUGACCCCUUGGGAAACUUUGGAGCUCGGCGUUCAGCUGCCUGUGCAAGUGGGCGUUCUGCUCAGGGCAUUCCCACACUGAGACCAACACAGGAGUUCCCACUCAUCAUAGUAAUUUCUAAACAGUAGUAAUUAAACUAGUUAAACUAAAUGUUCUAGUUAAUAAAACAUUCUGAGUAUGUUUAAUUUGCUCCAAAGUAUUUUAAAAAAUAAGAAAGAAACCAAUGCUGUUUCAUAAUACUUUGUUUGGAGAUGUUAUUUUUUUCUCCCUAAAUGGGUUAAGAACAACAGUAUAAACCAAAAGUUGUGUUUUUUUUUAACAAAAUGAAGUGUCUGUUUAUUUUCAGUAUACACUUUAAGCUUCUAAUAUUGUUCACUUAAUUCUAUUACAUGAAAGGAAAAUAUUAUACCUAGCCUUCCAAGAACACAAUAUGCAGUGGACACUCAAAUAUUGAAUGAGUGAGUGCCCACUGCAUAUUGUGUUAUUGGAACACUUUGGAAACACUUCUUCCAUUUGUUCAACUUUCUCCAGUCAUGUGGAAAAUGGCUUUUUUCUUCAACUAAGAGUGGUACUUCCCAGUGCAGCUAAGGUCAAAAAGUGUUAGAAAUGUGUGUUCAUUGCAAUCUCUAAAGUGCUUUUUAUCCAUCUUUUAAAGACUACAUACUUCAAAUGGAUUUCAGACCUAGAUCAGCAGUCAGAUUAAAGAAUUGCAAAGUGAGAUUAAACUAGUUUUAAAUUUAUCAUGCCUGAUGAUAAAAUUCUAUAGUUCUGUUUUGGUAUGUCAAAUGGAAAAGGCAGAGAAAUUGAUUGGCAAUCCAAAUGACAUUUGGGAACUCACUUAGAACCUUCAAGAUAGGAUCCUGAACCCAAGGAGCACCUACUCUUAUUCAUCUAGUCCUUGACAUAGAAGAAAUUACAGUUUGUUUUGGGGAAACAGUUUUAACAAGCUCGAACAUUCAAAUUUGCCUUCAAGUAUUUUUCUCUAGAAGAAACCCGGGUAAGUUCCCUUAGCUUCAGAUCCAUCAAGGAAUAAACAAAAUGAGAUGGGUUAGGAUCUUCCCAAACGAAGCAGCUACCCUAGUUAUGUAGGUCCUACUUUAGUUGUGCACUGAGAUCGUCCUGCAAUCCUUCCAAAGGUAGGACAGGAAGCAUAAUAGGAAAGAAAACUAUGUAGUCAUCAUAUUUGUGCCAAUCGUGUGGACUCCUAUACAGUAGUUCAGGCUACCAGUUUGGUUGGGCCAUGCUUCAGUAGCCCAUUAUUCCUUUCACUCAGUAGAAUGGCUCCAGUUAUUCCUCUGAAAUUGGAAGUUAGAGUUUCACAGUAUCUCUAGCAGGAAAGAUUGCCUUACAUGGUUCCAGAUCUUUUACAUCUAGUAUUGGACUUGAUGAGCUACUUUACAAUUACAUUUCCUAAACUAGUUGGGUCAUGCUGCUGAGAGCUGUUUUCCAGAGCUAGUGGGUAUGGAGUUUUCUUCCAGGCUUCAGGGCAGGAAGUGGAUAAUAAAAAUACAUUUAUAGAUGGCGCUAAGUGAGGUAGCCUAGACAACCAUAAAUAAGAAUAAUCAAACCAUCACGUUGUACUGGAGAAGACAGAAUAUUCCUCUAAUUGAAGGGUAGCUAUCAUAAUUUAAAAUUGUCAUCAUGAAGGAUUGUACUUUUUUUCUCCAAAACAGGUUAAAGGCAAAUACCUAUUUUUUUUUUGGUUUCUUGUUGAUUCAAAUUCCCUUUCCACACUGCAAUCUUAGUAUAGAUUUCUGGAGCACAUGAUAAUAUAUUUAAAAGAGCUAUUCACAAUAAAUCUGUUAUGUUUUUGUACUUGUUUCAAGGGUGACAUGUAAAGUUAGUGGUUGCUCUACAGUAAGCAUCUGGUAGUGGAGCGGCAGUGCAGCAUGACAAGGACCUGGACUGCAGUGUCAGCCCUGGGAAUGUGCAGAAACGGAGAAUAGGAGAAAAUUCAAAGGGAGGACUGGAGUUCUUAGCUCUCCAUUGGCUUCUGGUUGGCAAAAGAGAUGAAAGAAUCAAAAUGUUCUUGGUUCCAAGCAAGUGUGACUGUGACCACGCAGAAGUUACUCAAUUCUGUUUUAGGUAAAGAACAAGCACAAGUAGACAUGUGGCCUGUUUGGGCUUUGGGAAAGACAGGGGAUCAUCAGUUACCAAUGUAGAGUGAUGGAGAAGAAAUAAGGUCCUUGGAGAAGAGUGUAUGGAAAAAGAUUUAGGGAAUACUGGCAUCUUGGGAAAUGAGAAGAGAAAGAUUUGCAAAAGGGACAAAGAAGAGAAAAACUAGGAAAAUACAACAUCCACAGGAAGACUGUCUCUCAAAGGAUUGCAAUGGGAUAAAAGUAUUACAAAGAAAAGAAGUGAAAAUGUGUGAUGAUGUAGAAAGCCAGGAUAGAAGGCGAGGGGCCAGAACCUAGAAGAAAACUUUGCCAUCUAGGAGUGGACAGCAUGUGCAGUGCCAUGUGUUAGGAGGACAUCCAAUUUCACAGGAAACAUGAUGUCCUGGAAAAAAAGGCCAGAACAACCCAGCAACUAGGUGGUGUGCAGACAUAGCAAUCAGUUUUUCAAAAGGGACCAUGCAGGGAAGUUAAAUUCUGAAGACGGUGUUUUUCUUGGAGUUAAACCAUAUAUUGACUUGUUCUUUAAAGGAUCUAAUAAGUGAAUAGAUCAAGUAAGAAACAAAUUAGUAUUUAGCCCAUUCAGUUGCAGCACUGUGGUUUCUUUCCAGAUAUGAAAAUGUGAGAAAUAUUUCCUGAAAUCAAGCAAGUGGGAGUGGGAAAGAGUAUGUAUAAAUGUUACAUGAGGAAUCCAAAAUCAUCAUCAGCAUCACACACACACACAAAAAUACAUUUAUUAUUUCACACACAAUUUCAUUACACUUGGUAAAUUCAUUAGGGCAAGGCAAAUGUAUUCAUCCAGACAUUCAAAUAAGCAGAAACAUCUGUGCAGUCUUUAAAUCUGCCAUGUUAAACAGGCCUACCACUCUGUUUAUAUGCCCCAAAGAGCCUGAACCAAGACAGACGUAAGUAGGAGCAGCUGGAUUUGACCCUAACUCUUGAAAAUCCUGCCCUGCUUGAGAGGUAAGGCAUAUCUUCAGCUUUGCAAGCACACUAUUUUGUGUGUGUGUGUGUGAGAGAG